CUCCUUUUGUGUUCCAUUUCUGCUUGAGAAAUAUGAAUUUCACAGGUUGGUGUUGAAACAGUUUUGCUUGGUUUUAAUAGUAAAUCAAAAUAUUAAGCUACAUUAGCCUUGAUUGUUUUGGAAAAUAUUAUUUACUUAAACUUUAGAAACUUUUCUAUUCAGAAUAUGGCAAUAUUCAAAAGAGGGAGUUCAAAUGACACAACUUCACACAUGUGAUACGGUAAAGCUUAGUAAGUUUUAAAUGGGUCCAUUAAGAUAGUUAAUUGUGCACCUUAAAAAUGAAAACGUAUAAUCAUACCCCAAAAUCAGAGAUAUAGGAAUUAUCUAAGCAUUCGUUUUCAUAGUUAAUAAUAUAUAUUCCUAAUUUUAUGGACUCAGAACUAUGAACUUUUGUAAGCAAAAUAUUUUUAACUCAGCAGAUACAUAAUAGUUCUUUUAUGGGUUAAGUUUCAAAAUAGAAAUCUAAUUAAAUAUGCACAGAUAUUUGAUUUACUAUGGGUAGAAGGCAUGCUUUCAGGAAACAAGUUUUAUAGUAUUCUAAGGGGAGGGAGAAGGGCUAGGUAUGAGUCCAAUCAUAUCAGAGAUAAAAAGGAUGACAUGAAAAUAUA
rnacentral:lncRNA from 1 species